rnacentral:misc_RNA from 1 species
GAUGGAGGGAGGACAUUUAAGUCCUAUAUUUUAUAUGCCUACUGCGAAUGGAAUUUAAGAGGUCUUUGGGGCUUGUGUUUGAAUUAGCAAUUCAUCAUUUAUUAAAUUUGUCAAAUUUAAGUGUUUGCUGUUGGAAACUAUCCUUUUGGGGGAUCUGGUAUUGCCUGGAAAGUAAUGGAGCUUACUAAUGUAUGCUGGCCAUGUCUUUUUAAGUUAGUUGAGCAAUGAAAUGAGAGACCCUUUUGGUUUUGAUGAAGGGAAUAUUUCAAGUCAUACACUGUUUGAAGAAAUGUUGGUUAAAAUUUUGUACUGGAGAUCACAUUGGGAUAUAGUUGUAUUUGCAGCCUAUUCUGAAUUUUAAUGCUUUAUCAGUUGAUUAGAAACUAUGGUUAGCGGCUACUAGGUAUUGGUGGGAUGCAGCACAAUGAUUUUUAUUUGAAGUACUGAAUGAUAUUUUAGAAACUACUGACCCUAUUGAGGUGGAUUUCUUUUUCUUUAGAGGGCAGUUUGGUGCAUAGAGAUCAAUCUUGCUUUCAUUCUCAAGCUUAGUUGGUGGUUUUGUGUAACCAUCUGAUGCAGGUUAUCUAGGUUAUGAAAAUUGGAGUUUAUCCAAAUCACACUAUACAAUGUUUGGUGGAUGGGUCCAAGAUCAGUAUUUGAAUGAGAUUCUGAAUGACUUGAAC